rnacentral:rRNA from 1 species
GAUGAACGCUGGCGGCGUGCCUAAUACAUGCAAGUCGAGCGAGCGGCGGACGGGUGAGUAAUACGUGGAUAACCUACCGAAAGACCGGGAUAACUUCGGGAAACGGGAGCUAAUACCGAUAUCUUAUCGAUGGAUCGGCGCUGCAUUAGCUAGUAGUUAAGGUAACGGCUUACCAAGGCAACGAGGCAUAGCCGACCUGCGAGUGUGACCGGCCACACUGGAACUGAGACACGGUCCAGACUCCUACGGGAGGCAGCAGUGGGGAAUAUUGCACAAUGGGCGCAAGCCUGAUGCAGCCAUGCCGCGUGUGUGAAGAAGGCCUUCGGGUUGUAAAGCACUUUCAGCGAGGAGGCGUUACUCGCAGAAGAAGCACCGGCUAACUCCGUGCCAGCCGCCGCGGUAAUUC